rnacentral:rRNA from 1 species
AUUGAACGCUGGCGGCAGGCCUAACACAUGCAAGUCGAACGAGUGGCGGACGGGUGAGUAAUGCCUGGGAAUCUACCUGAUGGAGGGGGAUAACUACGGGAAACUGUAGCUAAUACCGCGUACCAUAAGAUGAGCCCAAGUGGGAUUAGCUAGUUGGUGAGGUAAAGGCUCACCAAGGCGACGAUCCCUAGCUGGUCUGAGAGGAUGACCAGCCACACUGGGACUGAGACACGGCCCAGACUCCUACGGGAGGCAGCAGUGGGGAAUAUUGCGCAAUGGGGGCAACCCUGACGCAGCCAUGCCGCGUGGAUGAAGAAGGCCUUCGGGUUGUAAAGUACUUUCAGUAGCGAGGCGUUAACUACAGAAGAAGCACCGGCUAACUCCGUGCCAGCAGCCGCGGUAAUAC